GUUAACGAGGUUCAAAGCUGAGCAACUAAGAACAACAGGGAAUGACAAGAGAAGCUCCCUGUUGAUGUCCUGAUCGCAAAGGAAAUUAUGUCCUCCAGAGUCCAGACCCAUCUAUGAGAGCUAAAGACACCCUGGGACGUAACAAAUGAUGCCAUUAAUACCAUAAUUCGACGCAAUGAGAGUAUGGAAACCAGAGAGCUUCUUCAACCUUGCAUUCAAGGCAUUUACCCUGUUCUUAUCACUUCUGCUAGUUGUUGCUGUCUUUGAUUUCUGCAUGUCUUGAAUAAAGAUUUUGUUACUUUAGAGUUUAGAAUAGUUUUGGCCCAAUUUUCAGUGUUUGAAGUCAAUUACAACGAGUGCUUGCUUUGAUAGAAAUAUCAUACAGAGUGGUUCAAAGUGAGCUCUUUGUAAAUUGUUUUUGAGAAAUUGUACUAAAUAAUUUUAAUAUUUAUAAACUAUUCAUUCAAUUGUCAAUUGGUUGAAGAUAUAUAUUGAUAUUUAUUAUCCAAAUAUUAUUUAUUAUUUAAUAAAAAAUAAAAUAGUUAAUAUAUGUGUGUGUGUGUAUUUAAAUCUAGAUAUUUAUAAAUAUAUUUAUAUAAUAUAAAUAUAUAUUUCACAUUAAAUUUAACGAGUUUUAAAUUAGAUUUAACAACACAUAUAUCAUAUUUAUUAUCUAUUAAAUAAAAUAACUAUCUAAAAAUUACAUGUUUAUUCAUGUCAGGAAGAUAUUUGUCUAUUCGAAUUAGAUUUUCAUCCUAUCUCUUCAUUCCUCAAUUGCUUUGAUCACUAGAGGAAAGAUCUGCUCUCAUAUUUUAAUUGGAAUUAGCAACUGGUGAUCCAUCACUACCUGUCACAAUGAAGCAGAGCCCAAUAAAAAUCGCAACACCGACAAACAAAAGGACCCAGUCUAUGAUAUGACAAACCUAAGUAGAGCACUUGAUGUGCAGAAGACAAAGACAAAGCAUUCUUUGACUUUAACAAGUUAGCAGAGGCACUUAAUGUAGCCGAAGAAAAAAAAGGAAAGAAGACAGGGAAGGCAACAAGCAAGGAAGCAGCCAUUGAGGGUUUGUUUUUGGGUGUCACCAUGUUUUUUUCUUUAAAAAAUUAA